CGGACGCCCCCUCUCAGUUCUCGCCUCGUCACCUACCUUCCCUUAUCCCUUCACUGUCUCCCCACUGCUCCUUAUUCCAUGGUGGCCACAAGCCCACAACUCUCUCACUCUCUCCUCAAGCCGCCCCUCCUGUUCGUCCCCACCGCCGGCGCGAGGUCUCGCACUCUUCCCACUCUUCUCAGCCCCUCCUCUUCGAAUCGGUCGCCGAAGUGCCCGAGGAUCCGCUCGAGCUCGGUAUGGUCGCUGGGCGCCGGACGAAGGCCGACGCGGAGGCGCGGGACUUGCCUCCACCAGAUCGGCGGCUGUGGCAAUCAUGUGUCGCAACCUCCGCGGCUGAUGCCUUCCUUUCCAUCUCGCUCGUCGGCGGCUCCCACCACCCUGUGCGUGCGACUGCGCUGCGCCGUGCAAUGCCCAUGUGCGGCAGCAGUGCCGCGGUGACUGGUCCCCUGCAAGUGCAAGCCGGUGCCGGCUUACAAGAAAUGGAUAUUGAAGACCAUCUAAGAGUCAGGGAAUUUGUUCGAUCCUAAAUUUUUGGAACUCUGAACACAAAGAUGGGAAUGGGGAGGCAUACCUGCCUGCCAUAUACAUCAACCCGAAGCUUUUGAGCGUUGUACAGAACAAGCAGGUGCGUUGCCUGAGGAGUUUGUCGGCGCUGAUGUCGGCGACUGUGGAAGGCGACGAUGGCCAACAGUGGCUGGGUGGCGAGGGCACAACAGUGGCUUGGCAGCACCGAUGUCUGACUGUAGUGUGCGUCUAAACGGCGACAUCAAAGAAGACAUCGAGAUUAACUGGGAUGGAACUGGCCACGUAUUGCGCGCAAGAGGAUAGUCUGCACCUGCAUUGGCUAGAAGCGCUUCGUCGCGGGCGUCGUCCGCUAUGCAUGGCGGCGAUGGCGUAGGAGAGGCUGGGCGGCUGCGACGUACGUCCAGGUUGGCAAAGGCAGGCAGAUCGAGCUGAUUCCCAUAAGUUUAGCCAUUUAUUGUGAGGCAGACGUGUUUAUUCCCGUUAAUUAUGGCAAAUUUUCUGUAGUUGAUUGGAACUGUCUGUUGUUUUUUUGCGGGGUAGGUGGAACUGUUCGAUCGAUGGCAGAGUUUCGUCCGUUAAUGUAAAUCGCUAAACGUACACAGGGGAGGUCUGACUUUUAUGUGGACGGUUAGAUGCCUGAUCCUGGGGUGGUAAUUUGUCUUGUCUGGCCUGUGUACGUUUAACCGGGUGGGCAUAGUGAAGAAUAUGUUUACUUGUUUAAUAGUAGUAGAGAUGUAGGCCUUUAGAUUGCAGGUUUGGAUGGAUAGGAUGACUUGGUUCUCCGCCCUCUUUUUUUUAUAGGGGUAGUAGAUACAAGUGUACCCGUAGCAACGCGCGGGGCAUCAUCUAG
rnacentral:rRNA from 1 species